CUGGCUCAGAACGAACGCUGGCGGCGUGUUUAAGACAUGCAAGUCGCACGGGAUCAUUUUGGUAGUAAUACUCGAAUGGUCUAGUGGCGCACGGGUGAGUAACAUGUGAAUUACAUGCCCUUCAGUGGGGAAUAGCCCAGGGAAACUUGGAUUAAUACCCCAUGGUAUCGCAAGAUUAAAGGUGGCCGCAAGGCUGUCGCUGAAGGAUUGGUUCGCACCCUACCAGCUUGUUGGUGAGGUAACGGCUCACCAAGGCUACGACGGGUACCUGGUCUGAGAGGACGAUCAGGCACACUGGAACUGAGACACGGUCCAGACACCUACGGGUGGCAGCAGUCGAGAAUAAUUCACAAUGGGGGCAACCCUGAUGGUGCAACGCCGCGUGGAGGAUGACGGUCUUCGGAUUGUAAACUCCUGUCAUCCGGGAGUAAGACCUGGCCGUUAAUAGCGGACAGGGUUGAUAGUACCGGAAGAGGAAGGGACGGCUAACUUCGUGCCAGCAGCCGCGGUAAU
rnacentral:rRNA from 1 species